CCUACGGGAGGCAGCAGUGAGGAAUAUUGGUCAAUGGACGAGAGUCUGAACCAGCCAAGUAGCGUGAAGGAUGACUGCCCUAUGGGUUGUAAACUUCUUUUAUAAAGGAAUAAAACGAGGCACGUGUGCCUUUUUGCAUGUACUGUAUGAAUAAGGAUCGGCUAACUCCGUGCCAGCAGCCGCGGUAAUACGGAGGAUGCGAGCGUUAUCCGGAUUUAUUGGGUUUAAAGGGUGCGUAGGCGGCUUAUUAAGUCAGAGGUAAAAUCGUGGGGCUCAACCCCAGCCAGCCGUUGAAACUGGGCGUCUAGAGUGUACGAGAGGUAUGCGGAAUGCGUGGUGUAGCGGUGAAAUGCAUAGAUAUCACGCAGAACCCCGAUUGCGAAGGCAGCAUACCGGUCCACAACUGACGCUGAGGCACGAAAGCGUGGGUAUCAAACAGGAUUAGAUACCCUGGUAGUC
rnacentral:rRNA from 1 species